rnacentral:rRNA from 1 species
CACGGGUGCGUAACGCGUAUGCAACCUACCCUUAUCAGGGGGAUAACACUGAGAAAUUGGUACUAAUACCCCAUAACAUCAGGACCGGCAUCGGUUCUGGUUGAAAACUCCGGUGGUUAUGGAUGGGCAUGCGUUGUAUUAGCUGGUUGGUGAGGUAACGGCUCACCAAGGCAACGAUACAUAGGGGGACUGAGAGGUUAACCCCCCACAUUGGUACUGAGACACGGACCAAACUCCUACGGGAGGCAGCAGUGAGGAAUAUUGGUCAAUGGACGCAAGUCUGAACCAGCCAUGCCGCGUGCAGGAAGACGGCUCUAUGAGUUGUAAACUGCUUUUGUACGAGAGUAAACGCUCUUACGUGUAAGAGCCUGAAAGUAUCGUACGAAUAAGGAUCGGCUAACUCCGUGCCAGCAGCCGCGGUAAUACGGAGGAUCCAAGCGUUAUCCGGAUUUAUUGGGUUUAAAGGGUGCGUAGGCGGUUUGAUAAGUUAGAGGUGAAAUACCGGUGCUUAACACCGGAACUGCCUCUAAUACUGUUGAACUAGAGAGUAGUUGCGGUAGGCGGAAUGUAUGGUGUAGCGGUGAAAUGCUUAGAGAUCAUACAGAACACCGAUCGCGAAGGCAGCUUACCAAACUAUAUCUGACGUUGAGGCACGAAAGCGUGGGGAGCAAACAGGAUUAGAUACCCUGGUAGUCCACGCAGUAAACGAUGAUAACUCGCUGUCGGCGAUACACAGUCGGCGGCUAAGCGAAAGCGAUAAGUUAUCCACCUGGGGAGUACGUUCGCAAGAAUG